AUUUAAUUGAAGAGUUUGAUCAUGGCUCAGAUUGAACGCUGGCGGCAGGCCUAACACAUGCAAGUCGAACGGUAACAUUUCUAGCUUGCUAGAAGAUGACGAGUGGCGGACGGGGGAGUAAUGCUG
rnacentral:rRNA from 1 species